rnacentral:rRNA from 1 species
AACACAUGCAAGUCGAGGGGCAGCAGGAACUUAGCUUGCUAAGUUGCUGGCCGACCGGCGCACGGGUGAGUAACGCGUAUCCAACCUUCCUCUUAGUAGAGGAUAGCCCGGUGAAAAUCGGAUUAAUACUCUAUGUUGUUCAAUGCAGGCAUCUAAGUUGAACCAAAGAUUUAUCGCUAAGGGAUGGGGAUGCGUCUGAUUAGGUAGUCGGCGGGGUAACGGCCCACCGAGCCAUCGAUCAGUAGGGGUUCUGAGAGGAAGGUCCCCCCACAUUGGAACUGAGACACGGUCCAAACUCCUACGGGAGGCAGCAGUGAGGAAUAUUGGUCAAUGGGCGAGAGCCUGAACCAGCCAAGUAGCGUGCCAGGAAGACGGCCCUAUGGGUUGUAAACUGUCUUUUAUAUAGGGAUAAAGUGCAUCACGUGUGGUGUUUUGUAGGUACUAUAUGAAUAAGGACCGGCUAAUUCCGUGCCAGCCGCCGC